CCCAGUUCAGGGAGGUAGUGACAAUAAAUACCUUACAGAGGUCUCGUUAACCGAGAUCUCUCAAACGGAAUGAGUACAACGUGAAUCCUUUAACGAGGAUCGACUGGAGGGCAAGCCUGGUGCCAGCAGCCGCGGUAAUUCCAGCUCCAGUAGCGUAUAUUAAAGCUGUUGCGGUUAAAAAGCUCGUAGUUGGAUAUCAGUGCGUGUCCGGUCCGGUAUGCCUGGCGGUGUCGCUCGCGCGUCACUGCUGGGCUCCCAAAUAUCGGCUGGCCGCAUUCAAUCGUGCCGGAUCCGUCGGCGGGCCGUUCUUCGGAGGGGCCUGUUGGCGGCCGGCGACGUUACCUUGAACAAAUUAGAGUGCUCAAAGCAGGCUCUGUAUGCCUGUAUACAUAUUCAUGGAAUUGGAGAAUACGUCCCUGGCUCGAUUUGGUUGGUUUUGAGAGUCGAAGGGAAAUGAUUAAUAGGGACUGACGGAGGCAUUCGUACUGCAACGCGAGGGGUGAAAUCCUGUGACCGUUGCAUGACGAACUACUGCGAAAGCAUUUGCCGAGAAUGUUUUCAUUAGUCAAGAACGAAAGUUAGAGGUUCGAAGGCGAUCAGAUACCGCCCUAGUUCUAACCGUAAACGAUGUCGACCAGCAAUCCGCAACGGUCACUACACGGACUGUGCGGGCAGCUUCCCCGGGGAAACCAGAGUUUUUGGACUCCGGGGGAAGUAUGGUUGCAAAGCUGAAACUUAAAGGAAUUGACGGAAGGGCACCACCAGGAGUGGAGCUUGCGGCUUAAUUUGACUCAACACGGGACAACUCACCAGGCCCGGACACCGUAAGGAUUGACAGACUGAUAGCUCUCUCUUGAUUCAGUGGGUGGUGGUGCAUGGCCGUUCUUAGUUGGUGGAGUGAUUUGUCUGGUUUAUUCCGAUAACGAACGAGACUCUGGCCUAUUAAACUUGACACUGUCAGUCUCUUGUGACUGCGGUGCGCUUCUUAGAGGGAUCAUCGGCGUCCCAGCCGAAGGAAAGGGAGCAAUAACAGGUCUGUGAUGCCCUUAGAUGUUCUGGGCUGCACGCGUGUUACACUGAAGUGGUCAGCGCGCCGUUCAACACCCCUCUCCGUGAGGAGCUUGGGCAAACGUUUGAACCCUUUUCGUGAUGGGAAUUGGGGGUUGCAAUUG
rnacentral:rRNA from 1 species